rnacentral:rRNA from 1 species
CAGUCGCCGCGGGAAAACAGAGGGUGCAAGCGUUAAUCUGAAUUACUGGGCGUAAAGCGCGCGUAGGUGGUUUGUUAAGUUGGAUGUGAAAUCCCCGGGCUCAACCUGGGAACUGCAUCCAAAACUGGCAAGCUAGAGUAUGGUAGAGGGUGGUGGAAUUUCCUGUGUAGCGGUGAAAUGCGUAGAUAUAGGAAGGAACACCAGUGGCGAAGGCGACCACCUGGACUGAUACUGACACUGAGGUGCGAAAGCGUGGGGAGCAAACAGGAUUAGAUACCCCAGUAGUCCCUGUCUCUUAUAA